UGGCGGACGGGUGAGUAAUGCCUGGGAAAUUGCCCUGAUGUGGGGGAUAACCAUUGGAAACGAUGGCUAAUACCGCAUGAUAGCUUCGGCUCAAAGAGGGGGACCUUCGGGCCUCUCGCGUCAGGAUAUGCCCAGGUGGGAUUAGCUAGUUGGUGAGGUAAGGGCUCACCAAGGCGACGAUCCCUAGCUGGUCUGAGAGGAUGAUCAGCCACACUGGAACUGAGACACGGUCCAGACUCCUACGGGAGGCAGCAGUGGGGAAUAUUGCACAAUGGGCGCAAGCCUGAUGCAGCCAUGCCGCGUGUAUGAAGAAGGCCUUCGGGUUGUAAAGUACUUUCAGCAGUGAGGAAGGAGGUAUCGUUAAUAGCGGUAUCUUUUGACGUUAGCUGCAGAAGAAGCACCGGCUAACUCCGUGCCAGCAGCCGCGGUAAU
rnacentral:rRNA from 1 species